GAUCUUGGUCUGUCCACAUGAAGACCUUAUGUUAUAUAAUUUUAUCUAAGUUUUUAUGCUAUGUUUUUAUUUUCGAAAACUCUAGUCUUUGUUGUGUUUCCAAGGGAGCCUUGUCUUUAUUUUCCUUGUAUUUUCGAAACCUUGUGCAUGUACAAGGCUUCUCCUUUAUAUUCUGGUCGUGGCCCUUGUAUCAGCAUCCAUCUUUUUAUCAAAAACCUUUGUUUUCUCUUUUCUUCUUGCUUGUCGAGUUGAUUGAGUGUUGGUGUGUAAUAUCCAACUUCUGGUGUGUAAUAUCCAGAGACUAAGGGCUCUAGUUUGGUGUGUCAUAUCCAAUCUAUUGCCUAGGAGUAUCAAGGAGCCUUUCCGCAGCCUCUUGUGUCACCAUUCGAUCCACAUACCUUGAGAAACUUGAGUCUUUUGAUUCGUUUCUGCAAGGAUUAUCCCAUCUGUUCCAGAGCAUCAGCCUAGGAUCUCAUCAAGUGGUAUCAGAGCAACUCUGGAAGGGAAGUGUUCAUCUUUCUCUAUGAUUUUCGAUUUGUCUCUUCAUAUUCAUGCUAGAAACUGAUAGAUCUGUGUUGUGGCUGUCGAAAUUUGAUAGAUUAAGUUUAUCUGAUUUCGUUUGUGUGUUAAAAACUCUUCAUAUACCUUGCUGAGAAAGUUUUCUGAUUUACUUGAUCAAUCUGUUUCUGUUUCUGAAAUUUCGAAUUUGUUUCUGUCUUGAUCUACUCUGUUUUGAUUAAACUUGAUGUACUAGACUUGAAAGUGAACCUGAAAUCAAAAUCUCUCUGUUCUGUUUCGAAAUCAAUCUGAUCUGUUAGGUUUGUGAUUUAUCAGUUCUGUUCAGAUUAGUUUUGAUCUGUUUUAAAUCAUUGGUUGAGUUUCUAAUUUGUUCUGAGAAUUGUCUAAGGUUUUAAGCUUCAGUUUGAAUCUGUUUCUGGUUUUGCAAAUUGAUUUUUGUUUUCUCUGUAGAACUUGUUACUGCUGUGUGUUGUUUUCUGUCUCAGGUACAAUGGCAGGAGAUCAGAAAGGAAAAUCACUAAGGAAGAAAGGCUGUUACUUAAAUCUAUGAAUGCUCAAAUGCAGCAGAUGUUGGAUACCAACAUGGGUGAAUUUCGAAAGGAGCUUAGACAAAAGUUUCUGCAGCAAACUGAUGAUCUUAGGCAGCAAAAUAAAAACAGAAUGGACAAACAAAAGCUUGAGCCUAGACCACCAGAUUCUGUUCAAACAAUCAAGCAAGCAUAAGUGGUAUAAGGAAGAGGAAGCAGGACGUGGCCAACAGUCUUACAAACAGCCAGCCCACACUUCGAGCAGACCACAUCAAGCUUCUCGCACUCCUAAAUCAAAUAUUCAUUCUUCUUACAAUCAAAUUGUCACUAAGCCUCAACUUUAUGUUUUUACAGGGGAAGGUGAUUAUUUAAAGUGGGAAAGAACAAUGGAGAAGUGGCUUUGCUACAACAAAAUCCUGAAGAGAGAAGCAUUGGCUUAUGUGAUGUCUCAGCUCAAAGGAAACGUUUUUAAGUGGUUGUUGCAAGAAGAAGAUGAUCGCAGGUACUACAAGGAACCAGCUAUCACCACUUGGGAAGAUCUGAAGUUGCUACUAGGAAGAAGUAUGCAUCCAAAGGCCACACUUCUCUGAAAUCUCCAAAGAAGAAAGUCAUAUCCGCAACAGACUUCAAAAGUGAAAAAUCAGAAACCAAGAUGGCUGAUUAUGAGAAAGAAAUCAGCAGCCUUGUUAAAGAGAUUCUUAAGACCAGCAAGCACUUAGACAAGCAGAAGAAGCUCCCAAAGAAUCAAGAACCAGUUGCUACUGUCUCAGAACUCAAUGAUGCAGAACCAGACUCAGCUGCCCCAAUUCAAGAAGCUCAAACCAAAACAUCUAUGGGAAAAGGAAAGUUUGAGAAAGAACAAGAGUUUUCUCUGUUCUUACCUCACUCUGAAUCUAAUUUUGAUAAUUCCUUUGAUGAACUAACUUGUCUUGAACCGGUGCAACCGAGUAGAAUUGUUUCAGUGUCACAGGUUGCAAAAGAAGACUCAGCAGAAAAAGAACCAGAGAGUACAACACAAGAAGAACAACAGAAAAACUUGCAGACAAAAUCAGCUCAUGAAUCUUUGUCUUAUGAUCUGCAAGAGCACUGUAAGGAGUUUAAUAUGGUUGCUUCUGUGCCUAGAAUGUUUGUUAAAGUGAGUACUGAAGACAUAAAACGUUUUGGUCUUGAUAAAGUAAAAGAUUUUGUGUUUCAAAAUCUGUUUUUGAUAACAUGUUUAAAUCUUUUAAAGAAAUUAAACCAGAAAUCAUCUUUGAUCAAAAACGUUUUCAAAAUCAAAAUAAUAACAUUUCUGGUCAUAUUCUGAGUUUUGAUCAUUUUCUGAAACAUGUCAAAAGUUUUGAUCAUUUUGAAAAGGUUUUAGAGCUUGAAUUGAAACAAUCUGAUUUCUGUUUGAAACCUUGUGAUUCAUUUGCUAGAACUGAAGAAAGGAGUUUUGUUACGAACUUCCAUGUGCAUCAACUGAUCCUUGAUAAUUCUUUUGUUUCUGCUUAUGUAUUGAAUGAACCUAAGAAGUUGCAGGAACCGAAAUUGCAUCAAUCUGAUUUUAGAUUUAAAUUUGUGAAAUCUGCAAAGUUCUCUGAGUUUGAGCUUGAUAAUGAUUCUAAACAUGUAGGUUGGUUCUUUGAUGAUAUUCUAGUGUAUAACACUUUCUUUGAUAAACCUGCUGCACAAUUGAAACUAGAUAUCACUGAUUCUGAAUGUGUGAACUUGAACCUUAAUGAUAUCUGGGUCUGCAGUAUUUUCUUUGAUAUGCAUAAUAGAUGGAGGAAUCAUGCUGUUUUGUGCUUUGGAGACAUUCUGGUCUACAACACUUUCUUUGACAUGAUAACACACUUGACUUGUCCAAAAAGAGCUGAGAAGUGUACAGGUAAAAAGAGGGGCUAUACCGAUGAGUCCUUGGCUAAGCUGGAGAUGCAACAAUCAAAUCUUGGAAGCUGUCUAGCCGCCAACUUUGACAUAGGAGCAGUCCGAGGAUCAUAUCUCAGCAACCAGAAGGAAUUAAGCAACAAACUCAACUGCAAUGGAAACUACACUCAUCAGGGUCUCACGUCGAACUGGAAUCAUGUCCAAAGCUUCUCAAAUGAAAGAGUUAUGGGUUCUACAAGACGGGUGAUUCUGUGUUUGCUUUGUCUGAACUUUUCUGAGUGUAGAACAUCUCAAUCCUAUCUAUGGCGACCAGGUGAGCAUGCUAAGGUAACUAAUCAUGUUUUCAAGAGUUCUUUUAUUGAUUACACAGAUAUGAUGCACUUGUUUUUGCCAAAAGAGUCAUGUGCAGAAUAUAUGGAAGUUUUGAAGCAUGCAAAGAGAAAGAACAAGCGUGAGGAAGACAAACGUUUCAAGCCGCCUGAUCUAAGCCAGGAGAGACAUCAGGACGUCACUUGCUUCAUCCUCAUCAAAGAAGCACCUCCAGAUGCAACAUACAAGCCAAAACCGAGAAAAUAUAACUUUGGGAUAAGAAUCUUACUCUAUGAUGAUUUUGCUUGUGUUAACUUGUCUUGUUUCAAAGUAUCAGGUUUAAGUAAUGCCUCAGGAGUGCGGAAAGCCAAAUGGAUCAGUCCCUUCUACCUAAUAGAACCAGUCAGCGACAAUGCCUAUCAAAGAGGCUUGCAAGGUAACACAGAUUUGAGGACAAAUCUUUUUGAAGUGGGAGGGGAUGAUGUGAUCAUGGAAAACACCAAGGACUGGAAGCAUGAACCUGAACCUGAAGAGCUUGUAGCUGAGGAUGCAACCUUGAAUGAAGAACAUUGGAAACAAGAAGAAUACAUUAGUCUGGCCGAAGCUUGAUCAUCAAGACACCUUAACCAUCAUUCAAGCUACUCCACCUUCAAGCUGAUCAUCAUCUAGGCAAGUAGCUUGUGUGUGCUCUUUUCCUAACCUUUGGUUUUGUCCCACUGGGUUUUCCAAAGGAAGGUUUUUAACGAGGCCACAAGUCUACUUCUCCUAUCUCCUAGAUGAUUGAUCUUGGUCUGUCCACAUGAAGACCUUAUCUUAUAUUUUUAAGCUAUGCUUUUAUGUUAUUUAGUUUUCGAAAACUCUAGUCUUUGUUGUGUUUCCAAGGGAGCCUUGUCUUUAUUUUCCUUGUAUUUUCGAGACCUUGUGCAUGUACAAGGCUUCUCCUUUAUAUUCUGGUCGUGGCCCCUUGUAACAGCAUCCAUCUUUUUAUUAAAAACCUUUGUUUUCUCCUUUCUUCUUGCUUGUCGAGUUGAUUGAGUGUUGGUGUGUAAUAUCCAACUUCUGGUGUGUAAUAUCCAGAGACUAAGGGCUCUAGUUUGGUGUGUCAUAUCCAAUCUAUUGCCUAGGAGUAUCAAGGAGCCUUUCCGCAGCCUCUUGUGUCACCAUUCGAUCCA
rnacentral:lncRNA from 1 species